AUUGAACGCUGGCGGCAGGCUUAACACAUGCAAGUCGAGCGGAGAUGAGGUGCUUGCACCUUAUCUUAGCGGCGGACGGGUGAGUAAUGCUUAGGAAUCUGCCUAUUAGUGGGGGACAACAUUCCGAAAGGAAUGCUAAUACCGCAUACGCCCUACGGGGAAAGCAGGGGAUCUUCGGACCUUGCGCUAAUAGAUGAGCCUAAGUCGGAUUAGCUAGUUGGUGGGGUAAAGGCCUACCAAGGCGACGAUCUGUAGCGGGUCUGAGAGGAUGAUCCGCCACACUGGGACUGAGACACGGCCCAGACUCCUACGGGAGGCAGCAGUGGGGAAUAUUGGACAAUGGGCGGAAGCCUGAUCCAGCCAUGCCGCGUGUGUGAAGAAGGCCUUUUGGUUGUAGAGCACUUUAGGCGAGGAGGAGGCUACCUGGAUUAAUACUCUAGGAUAGUGGACGUUACUCGCAGAAUAAGCACCGGCUAACUCUGUGCCAGCCGCCGCCGUAAUAC
rnacentral:rRNA from 1 species